rnacentral:rRNA from 1 species
AACCUCCGCAAUGUGAGAAAUCGCGACGGGGGGAUCCCAAGUGCCAUUCUUAACGGGAUGGCUUUUCAUUAGUGUAAAGAGCUUUUGGAAUAAGAGCUGGGCAAGACCGGUGCCAGCCGCCGCGGUAACACCGGCAGCUCUAGUGGUAGCAAUUUUUAUUGGGCCUAAAGCGUCCGUAGCCGGUUUAAUAAGUCUCUGGUGAAAUCCUGUAGCUUAACUGUGGGAAUUGCUGGAGAUACUAUUAGACUUGAGACCGGGAGAGGUUAGAGGUACUCCCAGGGUAGAGGUGAAAUUCUGUAAUCCUGGGAGGACCGCCUGUUGCGAAGGCGUCUAACUGGAACGGUUCUGACGGUGAGGGACGAAAGUUAGGGGCGCGAACCGGAUUAGAUACCCGGGUAGUCCUAACUGUAAACGAUGCGGACUUGGUGUUGGGGUGGCUUUGAGCUGUCUCAGUGCCGAAGGGAAGCUGUUAAGUCCGCCGCCUGGGAAGUACGGUCGCAAGACUGAAACUUAAAGGAAUU